GGGAUGUGUGACGUGUGUGUGUUCGUCUGAAGCAUUAUACGUCUGUGAGGUGUUGGUCGCAUCAUUGUAAACUAGUACAUCAGAACAGGAGUCAUCAGAAGAGGAGGACCAGUUUACGUGUAACUGGCAACCAUCAAUCAUGAAAGGCGAAGAUAACGAACAGUGAUCAAUCUCACAACUCCUACAAGCAAUACAAAAUAGAAAGUUGGACAAACACGGAGCCAUGGAUACACCAGAGGUGGGAUCAUGUGCCUAGGAGGAGUAAGCAUCCCCUGUCGAGCGGUCACAUUCGCUGUAAGCCCUAUAUCUUAAUAAGAUUGUUUGUCUAUCUCCUCCAAUAUUCCUGUACGCAAUGAAGGAACUACUGACAUCAAUAACGAUGCUGUACAUAGUACUAUUUCGCUACAAGACUCUAAGAGAGAAAACAAUGGUCUUUUCAGUGAUGGCUUUUGUGAAAUCUACUUCUGGGCGUCUCUUCUUGCCAUUCCAUUAGUCGUGUCUAUCAUCACAACUAUUUUAUAUUUCUUUGCCAUGAGGAAAACUCGUGGACCAAUUCGAAAUGGAAGCGUUUUACCACAAGCGAGUGAGCUUAACGCUACAUCAACAUGCUAUGCCAACGACAAUGAUACAGACGAGUACGAUGACGUGCACUUUUACUUUUGAAAAACUGUUUCACUGCAACGCUGAUCUACCUUUCAAACAGCCUUGCCACAGGGGCUAAGCCCGUUUUGGGCCCGAACUCUGUGAUACCAUAAAUAUAGAAAGGGGUCUAACUCUGACACAGAUAAAAAACUAACCACUCGCUUCAAAUGCAUAAAAAAUCUUAAACUAGGUAAGCUAUGCGUAAUUUGUCGUUUUCCUUGCAUAUAUUAAUGUUUUAACUACUUGUAUGCCAAAUUUCAAGUCACUGGUUCUUAAAAUAACAAAGAUAUACGUCAUCGUUCUCUCGAUUUCACUUGUUUAUUUUUACUAGGACAUUUACCGGUCCAGGUCACGGAGUCGUUUCUCGCCUAUGACAGCAGCGCAAUUCAGACUAGUAUGGAAGACUUCGGACCUGUCAAUUAAAAUUUCACAUCAAUUAUACGCUACUUACUUCCUCAUAUUUUAAUAAUGUUCUUCGUGUAGACGUUACACGACUUAUUUUUCCUCAGCAGCAUCAACUGUUGACAAGAUCUGCCGUUUUAAUAAACGCACUAAAUACCCGAUAGACGUAAAAUCUCAAAUACCUUAAAACUGAUCAAAACAUUAUUCUUGUGAAAUUGCACUUAGAGAAGGAAAUUGAACAUUAUUUCUUGGCUUUUUUAAUUUUUUGUUUUUGUUUAUUCUAUUUCAUUUAGAUUAUUAUUACCCAUUUUCCCCUUCUUUAAAGUUUUAGACAUUUCGGGUAUUUAGUGUAUUCAUUAAAAUGGCAGAUCUUGUCAACAGUUGAUGCUGCUGAGGAAAAAUAAGUCGUGUAACGUCUACACGAAGAACAUUAUUAAAAUAUGAGGAAGUAAGUAGCGUAUAAUUGAUGUGAAAUUUUAAUUGACAGGUCCGAAGUCUUCCAUACUAGUCUGAAUUGCGCUGCUGUCAUAGGCGAGAAACGACUCCGUGACCUGGACCGGUAAAUGUCCUAGUAAAAAUAAACAAGUGAAAUCGAGAGAACGAUGACGUAUAUCUUUGUUAUUUUAAGAACCAGUGACUUGAAAUUUGGCAUGCAAGUAGUUAAAACAUUAAUCUAUGCAAGGAAAACGACAAAUUACGCAUAGCUUACCUAGUUUAAGAUUUUUUAUGCAUUUGAAGCGAGUGGUUAGUUUUUUAUCUGUGUCAGAGUUAGACCCCUUUCUAUAUUUAUGGUCUCACAGAGUUCGGGCCCAAAACGGGCUUAGCCCCUGUGAGCCUUGCUGUAGAUGUGAAGAAGCCCGAAUAUGAUCGAUUUCUCGUAUCGAAAUAUGCACAUGUAUUUCAAAUGUUUUCUUGAAUUUGAUUUUGUUGUUCAUUGUUGUAUUUUUGUUUGUAAUAUUGUACAUAAUUUUUGUCUGCGUGUAUAAUUUGAUUCUUUAAAAUGACUCAAAACAUGUUUGAUAUAAUUCAUAACGAGAGAUAAGGCUCACGGAGGUGUGACUGGUCGAAUGGGGAUGCUUACUCCUCCUAGGCACCUGAUCCCACCUCUGGUGUGUCCAGGGGUCCGUGUUUGCCCAACUAUCUAUUUUGUAUUGCUUGUAGGAGUUAUGAGAUUGAUCACUGUUCGUUAUCUUCACCUUGCAUGUAACGGACACGUGUUGAAACUUCUUAUUGUGACGUUAUUAACGUUUAUGCAUGACUUCGUUUAACCAAGAUGGUCAGGUACUUAGCUAGCCUGUAUAAACGGAAAGGAAGAAUUGCUUUUACUUUCUCUUUGCCGUGAAAACAGUGAAAAGAAAUUUUCUUUAGAUAUUGAAGGAUUGUUAAUUCUACUACUAGAAUUCUUUAAAAUGUCCGCCACAUUUCUCUGCUUAUCGUCAUAUUUGAAUAAAGCUGACAUGAUUUCUUAAAUUCUCGGUAUCCUUUUCAUUCCUCUGCAUAUUCGCUCUAUUAGAUGGAACUUCUAUUGUUGUGUGUAUCAGGGUUUGCAUGGUAUAUAGGGGAUGUAUUUUAACACACUUCACACCAGUAUUUCCGAUUUACAUGUGCGGAGAGUAUCUCGAUAGGUAACACGUACAUCUACAAUAGUAAGGUAUCAUGAGAAAGGAAAUGGCGUUUUAGAACAGCCUGCAGUGCUCAAAUUACAGCCAUCGUACAUUAGGGAAGACUUCUAAACGAUUUAGAUUAAAUUUAGAAUAAAAAGGCUUUCUCUAUAAUGAUGUAUGUAUAGUUGUAGUAAACAUGUCAAAAUUAUACAAUGAACGCAGAGAAAUAUUUCAUCGAUCAUCUAAUGAUAAAAUAGAAUAAGCAAUGGUCAUGAACUUUAUACCAUUCACACUCACUUAAAAACUUGCAGAUAUAUAAAUGAUACGAGAUCUUAUGCACAUGACAUGCUGAUCGCCUUGAAAAUGCAUCGAACGUGGACGACUAUUUAUUUGGGUCUACUUGCAACACAUUGUAAUCGUAAAGGACCUCAUAAGUACAUGUGUACUUGUCGAAAAUACUAUAAGUAGUAGUAAAUUUUCCUCUAUUUUCAUAACCACGAAACAAAACGAUAAAUUCCAUUUUCAUUCCUACAGGAAAUACAUUGUCACUUCGUUGUACAGACCACGAUACACUUAACCCGUGCCGAUCAGGUACAUGUUCAUGUCUCUUCUAUGAAGGGAAAUAUCACAGUAGAAUAUUUACCUUGUAUUUUGCCUGAAUCUUUCUGUUAUUUACUGGUCCCAGAGUUCUUGCAAAUUUGUAAAAUCGGGAAACCAUUGAUGAGAGAGAGAGAGAGAGAGAGAGAGAGAGAGAGAGAGAGAGAAAAAAACGUUGAUCUUAUUCGAUGAUAUUAUGUUAUUUAUUCAUUUGUCAGUUACUUUUUAAAAGAAAAUUUUUGUUUGGUAUUUCAUUUAGGGGUAAGAGGUUCCCUCUGAACAUGGGCACUGUCUUGUAUACGUAGAAAAUGGUAUGAAACACACCAGAGAGCAUUUGACAUAAUGACAGGUUAUAUUGGCAAACUAGAUCGUUUGAACGGCCAUAUGAUUUGUGAAAUGCUGAUUUAAAAGAGAUUAUUGAAACCCCUGUAACAUCAACUUGUUUGUCAGUACCAUGCCUCGUUUUAAAAAUUGAUCACACGCAGAACAAGCUAAAAUUGAGUUAUUUGUUCACCGUUACAAAAAUUAUGUAAGAUAUAUGUUCAAAAGAAUAUAUAAGUACGAAGCAGAGGUGAAAGACUGUGGUAUCUUUACGUUCGAGUUCAAAGGGAUAUAUGAAAUCGAAAUAUGAAUGAAAAUGAUUAUUGUUAAUAGAUGAAAGAUGAAGAUAACGAACAGUGAUCAGUCAAAUAAUUCCUAUAAGGAAUACAAAAUAGAGAUAGUUGGGCAAACACGGACAUUUGGACAUACCAGAGAUGGGAUCAGUUGUCUAGGAGGAGCAAUCAUCCCCUGUUGAUCGGUCACCUCCGCCUUGAGUCCUAUGUCUUGAUCAGGUAAACGGAGUAAUCUUUACAUGAGAAUAUAUGUAAAAUAUGAUUAAAAAAUCAAAAGUUGUGGUGCCACACUAAAUCAUAUCAAUAUGUCAUAUCUUUUGAAUUAAAGAGGGUAUUUUCAUGGAACUUGUGAUGAAGGUGGUGCUAAAAUCAAGGAACAAAUUUUACAUAGUACGUGAAUAUAGAGGAAAAAUCUUUAAAAUCUUAAAUCAUAUUCUCCAGAACAGUAAGACCAUGCUCGUCA